rnacentral:rRNA from 1 species
GACGAACGCUGGCGGCGCGCUUAACACAUGCCAGUCGAGCGGAAAGGCCUGCUUUCCCUUGUGGAUUGCGGGUACUCGAGUGGCGAACGGGUGAGUAACACGUGAGUGAUCUGCCCCCAACUUGGGUAUAAGCCUGGGAAACUGGGUCUAAUUCCCGAUAGGACUGCAGGGUGGUGCCUGUGGUGGAAAACGAUUUUCUAGUGGUUGGGGAUGAGCUCGCGGCCUAUCAGCUUGUUGGUGGGGUAAUGGCCUACCAAGGCGGCGACGGGUAGCCGGCCUGGGAGGGUGGACGGCCACAUUGGGACUGAGAUACGGCCCAGACUCCUACGGGAGGCAGCAGUGGGGAAUAUUGCACAAUGGGCGGAAGCCUGAUGCAGCGACGCCGCGUGGGGGAUGACGGCCUUCGGGUUGUAAACUCCUUUCGACCGCGAGGAAGCCACCUGGUUGGAAGGGUGGUGACGGUAGUGGUAGAAGAAGCACCGGCUAACUACGUG